UGUAAGGUGGUGCUUUUUAGCAGGAACCCCUCUCGCUUUGCAAAUAGUUUUUUGUUUGUUUGUUUUCCUUUUUGCCCAAUAGAACCCUGCUCUACUCACCCUUCAAUGUGCCCGUGUGCCUAAAUAAUCUUGGUCGUGUCGAAACAACCCAGGUAUUAGCUGAACUAAGGAGCACAAUUCUGCAACAUUUUGGCACCCAAACACGGGGCUUGAGAAAUGAGUAAGAUGCAAACAAAAACGCCCCUUUUUUUCCUUUUCCUUCUAAGCCUUUGUGUCCUCGGACUUUUUCUGAGGGUAGGGGAAUUUUACCUUCCUCCCCUCCACUCCUGUCACUUCCAGGGAUCGGGAAUGUCAGCCUUUUCCUGUUUUCAAGGGAUAGACAGGUGAACCAGAGGCUCCCUGCUCCCCUCCUAAGUUCCUCGCCCUGCUGGAGGAACCUAUUUCCAUAAGAAUAAGAUUUUCUUCCUGCAGGCAUCUUUCCAACUCUGCACUUUAAACUUUUCUGCCUUUCUCUACCCUGCCAGCAGUUAACUUUUAAGUGAGAGUUUUUUUUUUUUUUUUUCCUUUUAGAAGACAUUUUACUAGGCCAGGAAUUAUAAGGAUCACUGUUUAUAUUCCCUGUAAAGUUUUAAUUAUUAAAAAUGUUUCAUGAGGUUGGUCUUAAUCUGUAGCCAAUCUAGUGUGCUUUGCAUGACUUUCUGUAUGGUCAGUAGCAACCUUUGCCGCAGGUCUCCAUCUUGUUUUAUGUCUUUAAAGUGUGACCUGUAACCUCAUGGCAAUGUUUUGUUUAGCCUCCACCAUUUUACAGUGGCAGCUGGGUUCAGUCCUGGCUUAGGGAAUGAACUCUUUCUGGUUUGAUAUCUGGAUGACCUUUGCAAUUUGUUGAUUCUUUUCCCCUCAACAGCCUUGGAUUUUUUUUUCCCUGAGCCUUUAGUAAAGUUUGAAAGCCAGAAGUAUUGGCUGCUUGGCAUAACUAAAAUCAGAUAACAAGGGAUUUAAAACAAUUUUCUUAAAGAGCACACAGCUUAAUUAAAAGUGUAUAUCCAAGUUAUAGGCAUAUUUAAAAGGCCUUUAUUUAUUUAAUUUUUUCCCCCUUGCAUUUUGUUUUGCUAGAAAAAGGGUUUUUUUUCUCAGUUGGCUGAAUUUUUUUUCUCCAUUUCAUCUUGCCACUCUUGAUGCAUGCACGAGAGGCUCUAAGAUAACUCUGGGGUGCAUAGGACUCCUUGAGAAAAACAGAAGGCACCACUGACCCCAUUUUGAGAAGAAAUCUGUUUUCCUCAUGGAACCCCAGGAAUUAAAAGCAGAUAGAUCUCUCUCAAAAUCUGUUUUUGCCUCCCAAUUAUGCCUGUUUAUUACGCCCUAGCAGCAGCAUGUUUUCCUAGCCCUGUCUCUUAAAGGGAUUUGCCUGGAGGACAAUAAUCCUAUUAGGAGACUGGCAAAUGAAAAACCUUGUGGCUGCUGAGUUUUCUUCUGCCUGGCUGUGUGGUUAUGUAUGUGUUGUAUUUGUGAUGUUUAUAAAAACAGCCCUAAUUAAUUGGCCUAAAGAAAAAUAAGCACUUGAAUCAAAUAUUUUUUAAUGGAAAGAUAAAAGCCCUGUGGUAGCUUUUAGUUCUCAUGACUUUAAUCUUUGAGAAAUAAAAACAGCCUUAAAGAUUAUUUGGAAAAAUGCAGAUGUCAUCAAAAUUUAAAUAGGUGGACUAAAUUAUGCAAGUCAGAUACUAGGUUUGCUAAAUGUUUUAAGGCUAUAAAAUGCUUUUUGAGAAUGAUUCAAUUUGCUGGCUUCACAACUGGUAAGGCCUGGAGACAUAUGUUACUAACCAUGUCCUUAGUUGUGCUGGAAGGAGUCAAACCUUGGCUGCACCUAGCACAUAAUUAAAACAACUUACCAGGUUUUACUUUAAAGGUAAAAAUUGCUAGGAGUUACCAUUAUAACAUGUAAUUGAGACCACUAAAAAUAUAUUUACAUUUGAGUUAUGUGAGAGCAGUAAAAUGUUUGUAGUAAAAGAUUAUAAGAAGGCAUAGAAAUGUAAAAUUUUAUCUAAGGUUAAAAGAUUGUUUUGAAUGAAAUAAGAUAACAGUAAAAGUUCAAACGAGUUGUGGAAGGAUUGUAAAAAUUCACCUUGCAAAGGAAAUCCCAUGUGUGAAUAUAUUGACUAAAUUCAAAGGAUAUUAUAUGGUUUUUCUGUAAAUUCAGCAUUGAAAUAAAAGCACAACAAGGUACUCUUAAAGCAGUAAGCUACUCUUCAGCAAAAUUUGUAAAGUGUUAUAACAGAUUUUUACUUUUAGAAUUUCUGAGUCAUCAUUUUAGCAAAGUAAAUAACAUGGUAAUCUGGAAUCCAAUUUCACAACAUCAAGUAUUUUAAAUCCCUAACAUACUUAACAGGCUUCCCAAAAUCAAACUGCAGUUUCAAAAUUGUCUUUCUUGAUAUCAGACUUUUGGAUGCUACAGAGGACACCUGCAACAUCAAAAAAAAGAGGAUGCAAUUGGAGAAACUGGUUGUUUUACCAGGCUUUGAUUGGAAAUGUGUGCUUCCCUUUAAGGAGUCAAGCUCAACUUGCAGAGCUGAUGGGAACCCCUUGGGAAAACUGGCUUCAAACGUUUGUCUACACAGUCCACAUACAGGGUUCCUAACCUGUGGCCAUCAAACUCCAAAUAAUCUGCACCUGGAGCCUUGGAUGAUGGCCUUUUUUACUGGGAACCCUGAAAUAGGCCUCUGAGGGAAAUCUGACUGCCAUUUUCCCAAAACAGCUUCCCUGUCAGUAGGAAGCAAUUAAGAUUGGUCUUCAUCCUUAUCAUUAUCCUUAUUCUAAUGGCAGUUAGAGGUACUUCUUUAGAGGGGAGAAUGAGACAGCCAAAUGCCUAGGCAGAUAAAAAGAUGUCCCUGGAGAAUUUCCGACAUGCCACGCAAGUGUUUACAUCAGAUGCUUUUGUGCAGGUGAGGGAAACUUCCCAGGGUUUGUCUGGGUAUGCCCACAGCGGACUGGAGCCCAACAUGAACACUGGAGGAAGUGGGUGGAGCCACGUGGAAGUCAUGCCUUAUGCAGGGGAGGAGCCUACUCUCCAGCUCCUGUGCUAACCUGGGAAUCGAUCUGUGACGUGAGGACCUGUUAGCAGGAAUCUGUCUCGCUUUGCCGAAAGUUUUAUUUUUCUUUUUGCCCUAUAAAACCCUGUUCUACUCAUCCUUCAAUGUGUCUGCAUUCCUAAAUUUUCCUGGUCAUGUGACAAGAAUCUAGGUUUUAGCUGAACUAAGGAGCAAAAUUCUGCUACAUAAGGUCUAAGAAAACUAUGCCUGUAUCCAUUAAAUCAAAUUGUUAAAAAGCAAAUAUAAAGAAAAAGUCUUCACAUCACUAGAGAAAAAUGAAACAUUCUACAUAAAGAAGUAAUAAUUUGAAUGGAUUGUCAGAAACCAUGACUAGAAGACAGUGGAGCAACAUUUUCAAAUUUCAUAGAGAGAGAAAGGAAAAAAAAAAGAAGAAGAAAAAGAAGACAUAAUAAAACACCUGUCAGUUUAGUAUUCUAUACCCACUGAACAUAACCUUCAAUAGAAUGUGAAGUAGACAUAUUCAGAUGA